ACUUAUUAAUUUAUAUAGGAUGCUGAAGCAUGUAAUCACCUUACUGUUGUUGUUUUUUUUUUGGUGGUAUGAAAUCUGUUUCCAUGGAAAUACACUGGGAAUAUUCAAAUGAGGUGUUAUUCAUGAGCUGAACGUUUGUAAAGCACAGUAGCAGACGCUGCUGUAAACUAACAGUCUUCUUUGCCUUUAAGUGCCUGUGAACAAUACCUGGAUGUGAUGAGUGAGCAGCACUGCUUGCAGCUCCAACACCGCUCACUACGACUUCACCGCUUUUCCAUAACGUCUGCCAAGGUCACAUCCAUUUGUCGUCAGCCGCUAAAUCUGGUCACGGUGUCGAUCCCGGCCGACACUGGCCGAGAGUCGGGGUACAUUCAGGACACGUCGCCCUGUUCAUCACAGAUAUGAGGUACAGUAUAUAAACAACAGGUGCACUAACCUGCGGAGAGCAUGCAGGGCGCCGUCCAUAUUCCAUCAACAAGAUGCUCCCAGAGAAACACGAUGAAUAUCAAGUACACGAUGCCGGGACUUGUGUCUGAGUGUUGAGGGGUUUGCUUUGUCUCUCUCAGAGCGAAAUCCUUUCUCACCUUCGACACACAGACUCUUUGUGUUAUUCAGUGGGAUUCAGCCACAUUGUGCGAGUGUCAGAAAUACAGUCUGUGAAGCACAAUAUAUACGUGAACAGCAUUCUACAGGUGGUUAAUAUUCUGUGUCCAGUGAUCCUUAUACACGCUGCAAGGAAAAAUACCAAAUAAAACAGGAAAAUAUACAAUUUGAUAUAUCAGAGUCUGAUGGUCUUAUCAGGUAUAAACAUUAGAGAAUGACGUGACUGCCGACUGAAACAAAGACAUGUAGUCCACCACAUGUAGACUGUAUUAUUUGAUGGGAAAUAUGUGGGUCAGCUGGUUGAAUAAACUCUGUGUGACUGAAAUGUCCUUAAAAAAUUAUAAAAUGCAG
rnacentral:lncRNA from 1 species